GAUGAACGCUGGCGGCGUGCCUAAUACAUGCAAGUCGAGCGAACAGACGAGGAGCUUGCUCCUCUGACGUUAGCGGCGGACGGGUGAGUAACACGUUGCUAACCUACCUAUAAGACUGGGAUAACUUCGGGAAACCGGAGCUAAUACCGGAUAAUAUAUUGAACCGCAUGGUUCAAUAGUGAAAGACGGUUUUGCUGUCACUUAUAGAUGGAUCCGCGCCGCAUUAGCUAGUUGGUAAGGUAACGGCUUACCAAGGCAACGAUGCGUAGCCGACCUGAGAGGGUGAUCGGCCACACUGGAACUGAGACACGGUCCAGACUCCUACGGGAGGCAGCAGUAGGGAAUCUUACGCAAUGGGCGAAAGCCUGACGGAGCAACGCCGCGUGAGUGAUGAAGGUCUUCGGAUCGUAAAACUCUGUUAUUAGGGAAGAACAAAUGUGUAAGUAACUAUGCACGUCUUGACGGUACCUAAUCAGAAAGCCACGGCUAACUACGUG
rnacentral:rRNA from 1 species